rnacentral:lncRNA from 12 species
GCAAGAUCUAUAUUAGGAAAUAGAUUUUCUGUUCUCUCAGGUGGAGGAAGAAGUAUUGUUUUCAUUGUGUUGCCUGUUAUCCUGGGUGCUCUGUACACAUCUGAAGCACAGGACAGCCCCUCCUUUUACAGUGCAUAAAGAAGUGGAGAGGAAUGGGGAGGAAGGGGAUAGGCCUGGCACAAAGCUCAGCUCAGUUUGAGUCUGCACUCUCCCACCACAGAACAGCAUGCUGGAAAUCAUUUAUGUAUCUGCCACGAAAUACCUGGAAGAAGGAAAGAACCUGAAUUGAAAUUGCCUUAUCAGGCAACAGCAGAAUCACAAAUAGAGGCUCAGCAGCAUGAAAGAGCCAAUAAGGAAAGCGAGACUUGGAAAGGGGAUGGAAAGCUUGCACCUCUCACAAAAUGCAGACUCCAUGGCAGAAGUCACCGAAAACUUCUGAAAAUACAGGAAGUCAACCAGUCAGACAGUGUCUGCUGUCAGUGCAAAGCCAAAAUAAAGAAAUAUUUUCCUAACUGCUGUGGGCCACUUCAGUGUGGUGUGGCAUUGCCAAUUCCACAGGGAGUGCAGGGGUUUACCAGGAACAGAGCAAAGCUCUGA